GUUCACAUACAUGGCUCAGUUGGUUAGAGGGUGGUGCUGAUAACCCCAAGGUUGCAGGUUGGAUCCCUGUAUGGGACA
rnacentral:tRNA from 1 species